rnacentral:rRNA from 1 species
CCUACGGGAGGCUGCAGUGGGGAAUAUUGCGCAAUGGGCGAAAGCCUGACGCAGCGACGCCGCGUGGGUGAUGAAGGCCUUCGGGUCGUAAAGCCCUGUCGGGGGGGAAGAAACAUUCCGGGCCUAAUAUGUCCGGGAAUUGACGGUACCUCCUAAGGAAGCACCGGCUAACUCCGUGCCAGCAGCCGCGGUAAUACGGAGGGUGCUAGCGUUGUUCGGAAUCACUGGGCGUAAAGGGCGUGUAGGCGGUGAAAUCCCCUCGCUCAACGAGGGAACUGCGUCGGAUACUGGCAGACUUGAGUACCGGAGAGGAAGGUGGAAUUCCCGGUGUAGCGGUGAAAUGCGUAGAUAUCGGGAGGAACAUCGGUGGCGAAGGCGGCCUUCUGGACGGAUACUGACGCUGAGACGCGAAAGCGUGGGGAGCAAACAGGAUUAGAUACCCCUGUAGUC